rnacentral:rRNA from 1 species
UACGUAGGGUGCAAGCGUUUGUCCGGAAUUAUUGGGCGUAAAGAGCUCGUAGGCGGUUUGUUGCGUCGGCUGUGAAAUCCCGAGGCUCAACCUCGGGUCUGCAGUCGAUACGAGCAAACUAGAGUGUUGCAGGGGAGACUGGAAUUCCGGGUGUAGCGGUGGAAUGCGUAGAGAUCCGGAAGAACACCGGUGGCGAAGGCGGCCCGCUGGGCAGAGACUGACGCUGAGGCGCGACAGCGUGGGGAGCAAACAGG